UACGGAGGGUGCGAGCGUUGUCCGGAAUCAUUGGGCGUAAAGCGCGUGUAGGCGGCCCGAUAAGUCCGCUGUGAAAGUCCAGGGCUCAACCCUGGGAUGCCGGUGGAUACUGUCGGGCUCGAGUCCGGAAGAGGCGAGUGGAAUUCCUGGUGUAGCGGUGAAAUGCGCAGAUAUCAGGAGGAACACCAAUGGCGAAGGCAGCUCGCUGGGACGUGACUGACGCUGAGACGCGAAAGCGUGGGGAGCAAACAGG
rnacentral:rRNA from 1 species